CCCCUAGAUGUUCUGGGCCGCACGCGCGCUACACUGAACAGUUCAACAAGUCUUAACCUUGGCCGAUAGGUCUGGGUAAUCUUUGAACGCUGUUCGUGAUUGGGAUAGACCUUUGCAAUUAUGGGUCUUCAACGAGGAAUUCCUAGUAAACGCAAGUCAUCAGCUUGCAUUGAUUACGUCCCUGCCCUUUGUACACACCGCCCGUCGCACCUACCGAUUGAAUGGUCCGGUGAAAUCUCGGGACGGCGGCUUGGUCGCUUGCGUCCGACUGCUGAAACUUGAUUAAACCAUNUNAUUUAGNGGAAGGUAAANUCGUANCA
rnacentral:rRNA from 1 species